rnacentral:rRNA from 1 species
GGAAACAGAUGCUAAUACCGAAUAAAACUUAGUAUCGCAUGAUACAAAGUUGAAAGGCGCUACGGCGUCACCUAGAGAUGGGUCCGCGGUGCAUUAGUUAGUUGGUGGGGUAAAGGCCUACCAAGACAAUGAUGCAUAGCCGAGUUGAGAGACUGAUCGGCCACAUUGGGACUGAGACACGGCCCAAACUCCUACGGGAGGCUGCAGUAGGGAAUCUUCCACAAUGGGCGCAAGCCUGAUGGAGCAACGCCGCGUGUGUGAUGAAGGCUUUCGGGUCGUAAAGCACUGUUGUAUGGGAAGAAAUGCUAGAAUAGGGAAUGAUUCUAGUUCGACGGUACCAUACCAGAAAGGGACGGCUAAAUACGUGCCAGCAGCCGCGGUAAUACGUAUGUCCCGAGCGUUAUCCGGAUUUAUUGGGCGUAAAGCGAGCGCAGACGGUUGAUUAAGUCUGAUGUGAAAGCCCGGAGCUCAACUCCGGAAUGGCAUUGGAAACUGGUUAACUUGAGUGUUGUAGAGGUAAGUGGAACUCCAUGUGUAGCGGUGGAAUGCGUAGAUAUAUGGAAGAACACCAGUGGCGAAGGCGGCUUACUGGACAACAACUGACGUUGAGGCUCGAAAGUGUGGGUAGCAAACAGGAUUAGAUACCCUGGUAGUCCACACCGUAAACGAUGAAUACUAGGUGUUAGGAGGUUUCCGCCUCUUAGUGCCGAAGCUAACGCAUUAAGUAUUCCGCCUGGGGAGUACGACCGCAAGGUUGAAACUCAAAGGAAUUGACGGGGACCCGCACAAGCGGUGGAGCAUGUGGUUUAAUUCGAAGCAACGCGAAGAACCUUACCAGGUCUUGACAUCCUUUGAAGCUUCUAGAGAUAGAAGUGUUCUCUUCGGAGACAAAGUGACAGGUGGUGCAUGGUCGUCGUCAGCUCGUGUCGUG